GUAGGUCAAGUGUUUGGUUAUCUUUAUUGCUCUAUAUUUUCUUUAUCCAAAAUUAUCCAUAUAAAUAAUACUACUAAUUUGAUAAAUUGUUAGGGGGAACAGGCCCAACAGUAGUAAGGAGGGUAUAACACAUGUAGCGACAAAAAUUUUGGGAGCAACAAAUUUUAUAUCCAUGGAUGCUGGACAAACAAGCAAACGCCAAACUCUGAUAAGAAAGAUGAUGAUAGAAAUGUUAGGCGCCGUGAACUCUACAAACUUAUGAUGGCUAAUGAAAAGCGUACUCUUAAUAUGAAAAACUCUUGCUCUACUUCCAGAAUAGUUACUGAGCUUCCCUUGUUUCCUGCUUUUGACAAAGGAAAUCCUCACUCCAUCUAUGAGAAAGGUUCAACAUCAGGUCUUGUAAUAAAACCUUGCUGUACAGCUAAGCCAGCCAUUCGUUACUAAAGGUUUGUUUUACAUCUGGUUUGGAUCGUUGUUACCCAUUGUAUCGUAUUAUAUCUUACAAAAAAACUUUUUUUGAUUUCUAUUUAAAAUAUAUUAAAUUGUAUUGCUAAAUCCGUCAUGAAAAGCGCCCUUUUAUGUAAUGACCUAUUUGGUUUGAUCACGUCGUUACCUAGUUUCUCUUUCAAAUUAUGUCCUUAAUAUGUUUUUUUUACCCUAUAUUAUUUAACUCCACCCAAAUACCAUAUCCUACGUUUGUACUCUUUUUCUUUCUUUAUAGUUAACUAUGUUAUUUGCUCGGCUUUCUGCCCUUGUUUCGAAAUUACAGGUACUUUUUUUUGUCCAUAACCAUAUUUUUAAAGUUCCUUUUCUGCUUUAACUAUAUCUCAGUUUAUGGAGGAUCUUUAUUGCAUUUCUCUAUUUUCAUCACAUCUAUUUCUUAUGAACUUUAACAUGCAAACAAUGUUAUAGAUGCAAAGAGAGCCUGGGCCAGUUGACAAUUAACAACACUACUUGUUGAAAAACACUUACUUUGCUAUAAGUUCUGGACCAUGUAUGAUAUACUUGAUCCCAAAAGAAAAGUAUCUUUCCAAAAAUAUUUUUGAAAAUAAUUAUGUUUGAGUUGCAUGUCUCGGUUGUUUUUGAAGUGAGCAGAUCAUAUUCUAUGUUGCAUGUGCUAUUUAGUAGUUUAUGUUCAUACAAUCAGUUGCAUGAAUUUAAUUGUGUUUGUUUUUGGCUUGGAUUUGAUUUUUUCUUUAAAUUUGUAAACCUAAGCCCAAACAUUAUUGUAGCUCUUUUUGGUGUAUUAAAAGAAUGUGGAAUUUGGUAAUGUGAUUCACCUAGUCAAAAUCCCACUAAACAGUAUUUUUGUCAUACUUAAACAAUAUUGAAUCGUUGAUAUCUUUCAAUUAUUUAUUUGCUAGAUUAGGCUGGUUUACAAUAAAUAUAUCCAUAUUUUAUAAAUGUGCAAGUGCCGCUUAAUUUUUAUUCAGAUUUAUUUUUGCAUGUACGUAGUUUCAGUAAUUUCAUUUGAAUUUGCAUGAAUUUAAUAACUUAGUAUAUUUACAAAGCAUAAUUUGUGACAAAUUAGCAGAAAUAUGCUGUCUUAUUUUUAUUUUUUUUGAAAUUGGUGAUAAAAUUACUUUAUACAACAGUUUAGGGUAUUUUAGUAAACUUACCAGUUACAAUAUAACAUGAUACAAUCAAGCCAAACAAGAAAAAUAUUAUUGUCAACAACAAACGAUACAAUCUACCCAAACAUUGUUCCAAAAAAUAAUACAAUAUAAUACAAUACAUUGUGAAAUGAUGGGCUACAAUAAUACAAACAUAGUGAAUAGUCUCAUGUUUAAUUAAUACCAUUAUGUGUUCUCAUUCUUUCACUCCUUCCACAGUUCCACCGUUCAGUGUAUCCAGGUCACUGGCAAAAUAAGAACUGCUCUGAAUAUUGAACUAUGAUCAAACUAUGUACCAUUUAAAAAAGUUUCUAAUUGUAAAUUUUGUUGUGCCAGUCGUAUGGUUAAGAUAAUUUCACACCAAAUGCGAACUAAUUUGUGUGCUCUAUAAUUAGGAAAUCAUGAAAACAUACACUUCCGGACAUACAUUAGAACGUAUAGUAGUUGCAUUUACACCGCUUGGUGUGCAUUACGAUACAGACUUGAUACAAAGAAAUUGUGGUAUCUAUACGUUUAGAGUUCAAGAAUGAAUGUACCAUCUGAUAAAUGAUUUGUAUCCUGGUGACCAGAAACCAAUAAAUCUGCAACUCUACUUUUACGACAGUGAUGAUUAAUUUCAGUAAAUAGAAUGUCAUGUUCUGAUAAGGUCAAUGACUCUAUAGUGUGAGAACUAAUGGAUAUGCUGAGAAAUGAGAAUUAACCCAUAUUCCUUUUUUAUCUGAUCUUUGAUAGAUAUAAUGCAGCUACAUAAUUUCUGCAUUACGUUCUCGUAGGUAGCCAUGUACUUCAUGGACAUUGUUUUAUUGUUAAUUCUGAGCACUGCAUUUUUUCCGAAGGGAAUGGAAUAUUUGUAGAACACUAAUAGCAUUACCUGUUCAUCAAAAAUUAUGUUGAUCUUAGCCCUCUGUUCAUGUGAUGAUGUUGUUAGGUUGUGCAGAUUUGGAUAUACUUGUUGGCCAUGUUUAUUUAUCAUUUUUUCUCUUCAGCUUUGGGCAAUCUAACUAAUUUGUAAAUUGUUAAUUAGUAGUGUGAGUUCCUGCCUUUCUGUAAUUUUCUCACUUGAGCUCAUGCUCUUUUGUAAUUUUCUGAAAAUUGGCACCUCUACCGAUCAAUGAUGCCUCUUCCAGCCUUCGAUAACUUUACUUACCCUUUGUUCGUUUCUUUUAGCCUAUAUUUUCUAUUAACGUCUUCACUUUGAGGCCUUCUCUUAUCACUUUGUUUAGUCUUCUGUUAAAUCUCUAUUCCAUAUGUAGAUAUGAGGAUUGCAUGUUCUAUGUGCUUCUUUCUGCUAUAGGUAAGGACCCCACUGAUAUCGAUAUACUCAACCACUGACUUAUCCUACAAGCAUCUUUCUGCUCCAACUUUCCAGUAUUGGUACCACAAAAGGCACAUCUUCAUCAGAUUUUGGAUUUUAGCCGUUGGUUUUCUUUCCUGUUAGUUAGCUGCACACCCAGUGCUUCCUAGCAGCUUUAUUACUUUGUAAGUAAACACCUCAACAACUAUCUUGUCUUCUAAUACUACAAUACAAUCAUACUAUUUAUCAACCAUUAAAGUGCAGUAUACUUCUUCUUAUGCCCUCGGAUCACAGCCUGGACUCCACGUAAACCGAAUGGCUUUGAGAACUGUCCUUGGUCACUUCCUAUAUCUGUCAGCAUUUCAUCACUUCAUAUUACUGCUUAUUUUACUGGUAACGUUGUCCUCUUUAGACAAAAUCUACAUAUAUAAGUAUUAACCAACUGAUUUAUCUUUUUCCUUGCAGAAUUCUGAAAGAGUGACCAUUUGAUCUACCAUAAGCUAAACUUAUAAUUCCCUUGACAGACAACCAUUGUUGAACAAGCGACAUUCCAUCAACGAGCUCCUAGAUGUUGGCACAACCGCUUGUUCAGCAAUGAUUCUGCUGCCAAGUGAACUUUGGUUUGCACUGGCUCAACACUUCUGUUAAGUCAGCUACUUCAGUUUUUGGUCAAAUCUGGCUUAAUCUUCUCAAGAUUGUUUCUUCCAAUUUUCCAGGAGAUGGAAGUGACCAAGCAUAUGCUACUCAUACCUUAUCGCUCUGCUAAGUAGUGCUCUUAACAAAAGAAAGGUAAAACAGAUAUUGGUUCUUAAUAAGAAAAGCAAGUCCAAACUUUUUUGUUUUAGGUAUAUUGGCUCCCUAACAGUACCACAGGAUGUUAUCUGGAAUAUUGAUUGAAAGGUGAAAACCAAAUGAAACUGAUCCCAGAUGCUGUUCAUGACGCGAGUUGCUGCCAAAUUAAAUUUCAGCAAUAUGAAUUUUCUUUCCUAAUUAUGUUUCAUCCAUUAUACUAGUAUAUAUUGCUUUAUAUAUUUGGAUCCAACUCUUCUUAAACUUAACUUUCUUGAUUCCCCCCCCUGUUCUUCAGUUAUAAUCUAUAGAUACUGUUAUACAUAUACAACUUCAAUAAAGAUACUGUUUUCUUGAUUUAAUUUUUUUUCUUCCUUUUGUUGUUUAUCACAGGAAUCUGAAACCAAUGCAAGAGCAGGACCAGCUCGGCCACUAAAAUAGAAGUGAAUUGAUUUUGUAGCUAUAGUUUCAAAAGCAUACCUUACACCCUUUAAAAUCAUAUUGUUGUUACUGCUGUUGAUCAUAUAGAAAUUGUGCAGAGAAAUGAUCUUUUGGCUCUUUACAAUUUUUUUUUUAGUUUUAUGUUUUUUUUUUAAAGAGAUCUAUUAAAGGUCAUCUACUUCGAUUCAAAUUGUAAGAGGACAAGAGAUCUUAGUUCCUCGGAAAAAAAGUGUAUACCUUUCACUAAGGUUGGCAUUUGAUUAUUCUUUGUUUUACUAAGAUAUUGGGCUGAAAAUUAAGAUUUCUUGGCAGCUUAUAAAAUGAAAAGAAGAAAAUGGUCUUUUCAGAUCUCGUGUAAAAAUGAAGAUUUUGUAGAAGUCAUAAUUUUUUCUAAAAAAAUUUCAAGGACCUAGAAGAUCCAUUCUCCUUAAUAGGACAUUAUUAA